GGAGGAUGGCAUUCCUCAAGAUGGAGGGGACAAUGGUGGACCCCUAUCAGGCCCCCACCAGACCUGCCAGCCCAGAUCUCAGCCUUCCUGCCAGGCCCAGGCCCUGACAUUUUGAUUGAGCACACUGGGUCUGUGGCGGUAACAAGCCACCACUGAGAUGUCGCUGCUGAUUUGGGCUUCGUUUGCCAUCCUGUGACUUUCACUCAGCGAGGGGAGGGAUGGGGGCACUUUUAUCCCGGCCAUUACUCUCAGUCUGCUGGCGGGGACGCUGACCUUUCCGCCGGUGUUGGUUUGGAGGCAGAGGACACCAAGAUGGAUGGGAAUGUCUUUAUUUGAGAUGACAGCCAGAAGUGGUGAGUGUGGAGAUAGGUAGAGUGGAUCUGGGGAAGUUAUCGGAGGGAAGCCACAAGAGACCGGAGAGACCAAAGAGAAAUCACAGAGGACUGGAGAGACACAGGAACGGUCUAGUGCAUGGAGUCCUAUCCACAAACGAGGGGGCGUAAGAGAGCUUAGAACAACUGCAUGGUUCUCGACUGCAGUCGACUCCUUAACUGUAAACUAAAGCCCACAUACUGUAACAUUUACAUGAUCCAGUUUGCAUCCUGCAUCAUCCCAAAACAAUUUCCAUUGAGAAGACGUGUUGUGAUAUGGCUGGGGGUUUUUUGGGUUUUUUUUUUAUCAGAGAGAAAAAGAAAACACAUGAAAGCCGGAGCUGCUGCCAGCAGUCGUAUCAAGAGAUCAGUAGAGCUGUGAGAGAGCAGCACUGGGGAAAGCUUUUGAUUUUGAUUCCAGAUAAUAGAAAGGCUUAAAGCCCCAUGUUUCCAGUCCACAGUGCUCAGAUUUGAGUGAUUUAUUCCCAGUGAAGAUUGGAGAAGAAGUGAAAGAUGUGUUGCUUCAUGUAUGAAACGCCUUGAAAAAAUAUUUGAUUUGAUAUUUACAAGAAACUCUGCCCACAAUUUGAGAUAAAAUAUGAUACAUUUUGUUGAU